rnacentral:piRNA from 1 species
CAGACACCGUGGAGAUGGACAUUUACUGACU